rnacentral:rRNA from 1 species
AACAAGUACUGUGAGGGAAAGUUGAAAAGAACUCUGACGAGAGAGUUCAACAGUACGUGAAACCAUAUUGAGUAAAACAGAUAACUGUGUUGUUAUGUGGUGUGCCUAUCAACAGCCAAUUUGGUGAUGUGAUGUCAUGAGUGAAAGCUGUCUAUUCAGCCGCUUGCUCGUGAUUAGCAUAACCUGAGGUUCUGUGCACUAGUGCGCACUCAAUCAUUGAGAAACUAUGCUGCUGCAGCAUCGAUGUGUAUCAGCCUGUACCUAGUACACAGUUACAUGUUGGGCGUUAGCUAGCUGGCGUAGUUUAGCUGUGUGACAGCUGUGGGUUGCGUUUACCGAAUGCGGUUGCUGUAUCUGCGAAAUGGUUUAUUCCUUUUUGCGGCGAGCACGUCGCUGUAGGCAAGCAGCCCGCCAUCAAUGGUUAACAUUAGUUAUUUGACCCGUCUUGAAACACGGACCAAGGAG